rnacentral:rRNA from 1 species
GGGGAAGGUGCGAAGGGCUCACGGAGGAUGCCUAGGCGCUUGGAGCCGAUGAAGGGCGUGGCCAGACGACGAUAUGCCCGGGUGAGUGGUCAAGCACGCUAAGCCCGGGAUGCCCGAAUGGGGAAACCCGGCAGGGUGUUUAAGCCCUGUCAUCUCUGGGGAAGGGCCCAGAGAGGGGAACCGGGGGAACUGAAACAUCUCAGUACCCUGAGGAAAAGGAAGCAACCGCGAUACCCCAAGUAGCGGCGAGCGAACGGGGUGUCGCCCAAACCGCAUGGACCUAACGGCCUGAGAGCUUAUGUCUGUGCGGGGUUGUGGGGCACUCUUGGGACGGUCUCAGACGUCCCAGGGCGCAGGGGUUCGGUCAGCCGAAAGACCCUGGAAUGGGCUGCCAGAGACGGUGAUAGCCCGGUAGGUGAAGGCUGGACCCCGGCCCGGAGUGUUCCCGAGUACCACGGGGCACGAGGAAUCCCGUGGGAAGCUGGGGGGACCACCCUCCAAGGCGAAAUACUCCAGGCGACCGAUAGUGAACCAGUACCGUGAGGGAAAGGUGAAAAGCACCCCGAAAGGGGGGUAAAAAGACCUGAAACCGUGAGCCUACAGACAGUCAGAGCCCUUCUUAGGAAGGGUGAUGGCGUGCUUAUUGAAGAAUGAUCCGGGGAGUUUUUAGGAGCGGCAAGGUUAAGAGAACGCAAUCUCGGAGCCGUAGGGAAACCGAGUCUGAAUAGGGCGUAGAGUCGCUUUUAAAAGACCCGAAACCGAGCGACCUACCCUUGGCCAGGGUGAAGGUUCACUAACCUGAACUGGAAGCCCGAACCCGUGAUCGGGGCAAAGAUCUGGGAUGAGCUGAGGGUAGCGGUGAAAUGCCAAUCGAGCUCGGAGAUAGCUGGUUCUCCCCGAAAUGCCUUUAGGGGCAGCCCUGCGAUUAGGCUGCCGGAGGUAGGGCUCUGGAUGGGUUAGGGGGCGCGAGCUUACCGACCCCAACCAAACCCCCAAUGCCGGUAGACCAUGCGCAGGAGUGAGACGGUGAAGGAUAAGCUCCAUCGUCGAGAGGGCAACAGCCCAGACCGCCGGCUAAGGCCCCUAAGUGCGGACUCAGUGUGCAAGGAUGUGGAGUUCCCCAGACAGCCGGGAGGUUGGCUUAGAAGCAGCCAUCCUUCAAAGAGUGCGUAAUAGCUCACCGGUCGAGGGGUUCUGCGCCGACAAUGUCACGGGGCUAAGUCCGCCGCCGAAGCCGCGGACUCGGUCAUAUGACCGAGUGGUAGGGGAGCGUCCCCGUCAGCGCUGAAGUUCAGACGGCAAGUCUGGGUGGAGCGGCGGGGGGGGAGAAUCCCGGGAUGAGUAGCGCCAACCCUGGUGAAAACCCAGGGCGCCGAAAGCCCAAGGUUUCCUACGGAACGUCAGACGGCGUAGGGUAAGUCGGGACCUAAGCCAAAGCCGCAAGGCGUAGGCGAUGGACAGCUGGUCAACAUUCCAGCACCGCCCAGACCUCGUUGAUCUACGGGGGGACGGGGAAGGCUAGGGGGAGCGCCCCCAUCGGACAUGGGGCGUGGGCCCGUGUAGGUCUAUGACCGCCGGAGGCAAAUCCCCGGCGCGAGACGGAGGCGGAGCCCAAAUGCCUGGCUACGGCCAAGCAAAUUCCUCUGACGCCAGGCCUCCAAGAAAAGCCUCGUAAGGAGACGUCUGGGCGCCCGUACCGCAAACCGCCACAGGUGGGCUGGGGUAAGCACCCCAAGGCGUCCGAGCGAACCUCCGCUAAGGAACUCGGCAAAAGAGCCCCGUAACUUUGGGAUAAGGGGCGCCCGCUGGCGUGUAGAGACACGCUCUCGAAGCGUCGGUGGGCCGCAGCGCAGCAUCUCUGGCGACUGUUUACCAAAAACCUAGGUCUCUGCUAAGGGGAAACCCUACGUAUAGAGACUGACGCCUGCCCAGUGCCGGAAGGUUAAAGGGAGAGGUGAGAGCUUUGAACUGAAGCCCCGGUGAACGGCGGCCGUAACUCUAACGGUCCUAAGGUAGCGAAAUCCCUUGUCGGGUAAGUUCCGACCCGCAUGAAUGGCGGAACGACUGGAGAACUGUCUCAGCGGAGGGCUCGGUGAAAUUGCAAGGCCUGUGAAGAUGCGGGCGACCCGCGGCGGGACAAAAAGACCCCGUGGAGCUUUACUGCACCCUGGCACCGGACUGGGGUCCGGGAUGUGUAGGAUAGGUGGGAGACUGGGAAGCUUCGGCGUCAGCCGGAGUGGAGUCGUUGGUGAAAUACCACCCUUCCCUGAUUUUGGCCCUCACCUCGGCACCCACCGAGGGACGCUGCCAGGCGGGUAGUUUGACUGGGGCGGUCGCCUCCUAAAAGGUAACGGAGGCGCCCCAAGGUCCCCUCAGGACGGAUGGCCAUCGUCCGGCGCGUGUAUGGGCAGAAGGGGGCUUGACUGCGAGGGAAACACCCCAAGCAGGGGCGAAAGCCGGGCCAAGUGAUCCCACGGUACCGAGUGGAAGGGCCGUGGCUUAACGGAUAAAAGCUACCCCGGGGAUAACAGGCUGAUCUUGCCCAAGAGUUCCUAUCGACGGCAAGGUUUGGCACCUCGAUGUCGACUCAUCCCAUCCUGGGGCUGAAGAAGGUCCCAAGGGUCGGGCUGUUCGCCCGUUAAAGGGGUACGUGAGUUGGGUUCAGAACGUCGUGAGACAGUUCGGUCUCUAUCUGCCGUGGGCGUAGGAGGCUUGCGGGGACCCCUCCCUAGUACGAGAGGACCGGGAGGGACGGCCCUCUGGUGUGCCGGUGGUCCUGCCAAGGGCGUAGCCGGGUAGCCAUGGCCGGCCAGGAGAAGCGCUGAAAGCAUCUAAGCGCGAAACCUUCCCCAAGACGAGGCCUCCCAUUCCAACUCGGAAGUAAGGCCGCAGGUAGACCACCUGCUUAGAGGACGGAGGUGCAAGGCAGGCAACUGCUUCAGCUGACCGUUCCUCAUCGGCCGAGGCCUUCCCCAC